rnacentral:rRNA from 1 species
GACGAACGCUGGCGGCGUGCUUAACACAUGCAAGUCGAACGGAAAGGACCUGCGGUUGUGGUGUGCUCGAGUGGCGAAAGGGUGAGUAACACGUGAGUGACCUGCCCUUGACUUUGGGAUAACUUCAGGAAACUGGGGCUAAUACCGGGUAGGAGCUCCUGCUGCAUGGUGGUGGUUGGAAAGUUUCGGCGGUGGGGGAUGGACUCGCGGCUUAUCAGCUUGUUGGUGGGGUAGUGGCUUACCAAGGCAUUGACGGGUAGCCGGCCUGAGAGGGGUACCGGCCACAUCGGGACUGGGCUACGGCACAGACUCCUACGGGACGCAGCAGUGGGGAAUAUUGCACAAUGGGCUGAAGGCUGAUGCAGCAACGCCGCGUGCGGUAUGACAGCCUGCGGGUUGGUAACCGCUUUCGCCUGUGACGAAGCGUGAGUGACGGUAAUGGGUAAAGAAGCACCGGCUAACUACGUG